rnacentral:rRNA from 9 species
GCAUAUCAAUAAGCGGAGGAAAAGAAACCAACAGGGAUUGCCCUAGUAACGGCGAGUGAAGCGGCAACAGCUCAAAUUUGAAAUCUGGCGCAAGCCCGAGUUGUAAUUUGUAGAGGAUGUUUCUGGCGACGUGCCUUCCGAGUUCCCUGGAACGGGACGCCAUAGAGGGUGAGAGCCCCGUACGGUUGGAUGCCUAGCCUCUGUGAAACUCCUUCGACGAGUCGAGUAGUUUGGGAAUGCUGCUCUAAAUGGGAGGUAUACGUCUUCUAAAGCUAAAUACCGGCCAGAGACCGAUAGCGCACAAGUAGAGUGAUCGAAAGAUGAAAAGCACUUUGAAAAGAGGGUUAAAAAGUACGUGAAAUUGUUGAAAGGGAAGCGUUCAUGACCAGACUUGGGCAGGUUGAUCAUCCGUGGUUCUCCGCGGUGCACUCUGCCUGCCCAGGCCAGCAUCAGUUCGCCCCGGGGGAUAAAGGCUUUGGGAAUGUGGCUCCCUCGGGAGUGUUAUAGCCCACUGUGUAAUACCCUGGGGUGGACUGAGGUUCGCGCUCUGCAAGGAUGCUGGCGUAAUGGUCAUCAACGACCCGUCUUGAAACACGGACC